UGGUUCUGGCAUCGAUGAAGAACGCAGCGAAAUGCGAUAAGUAAUGUGAAUUGCAGAAUUCAGUGAAUCAUCGAAUCUUUGAACGCACAUUGCGCCCGCCAGCAUUCUGGCGGGCAUGCCUGUUCGAGCGUCAUUUCAACCCUCAGCCCGCAAGGGCUGGUGUCGGGGCCCCCGGCGGCAACGCUGGGUCCCUCAGAGUCAUCGGCAGACCCCCGCGGUCUCCGGGCGCAGUACUGCAUCUCGCCCUGGAGCACGCGGCGGCUCCCGCCGCAAACCCCCCAAUUUACAAGGUUGACCUCGGAUCAGGUAGGAAUACCCGCUGA
rnacentral:misc_RNA from 1 species